rfam:Gossypium hirsutum cultivar TM-1 chromosome 20, whole genome shotgun sequence
UAUUAAAAAUUUCAUCAACUUUUACUGUUAAAAACUAGCGUGACCAAUAGAAUAACCAGACAAUGAUGCAUGGCAUGCCAAGUAUACCUCAUGCGACAUAUACUGACUAGUUUUUAAUAGUAAAAAUGGAUGAAAUUUUUAACA